rnacentral:lncRNA from 1 species
UCAUCGAACACUUGGAGUCGGGACGCUUUGCUAGAAACCGCUACCAACUGGUCAAGCCGAAUGCGAUCUGACUCGCAAUCAAGUGGACGAGAACAUAAGGAGUCGCGCGCUAAAGGAAAAAGGAACCUAUGAGGUCGGGUCCGACUUCACUGGUCCCUAAGAUCAUACCGUCGUGCAUAAUAGAAGGGAAUACAUACAAGGCAUACAAAUGCCGCAAGAAUACAUCAAUACAUCAUACCUAAGAUCCACAUCCGACUACGGAUGAAACACAAACAGAAGCUCAAACGACAUCCACCCUGCUAGCCCAGGCUGCCGACCUGGAACCUAUCCCCUGAUCGAAGAAGAAGCAGAAGAAGAACUCCAAAACAAGUAACAUCGCUCUCGCGUCAUGAUCAUCGCAAAACCUGUACCUGCAACUGGUGUUGUAGUAAUCUGUGAGCCACGAGGACUCAGCAAUCCCAUUACCAUGGGUAUCAAGACUAGCAAAGCUUAAUGGGUAAGGAAGGGGUAAAGUGGUGAGGUUGCAGGAGCGACUAAGCAAGUAUGGUGGCUAACAUACGCAAAUAAGAGCGAGAAGAGAAACAACGGAACGGUCGUCAACUUGUAAUGAUCAAGAAGUGAUCCUGAACUCCUACUUACGUCAAGCAUAACCCAUAAACCGUGUACACUUCCCGGACUCCGCCGAGAAGAGACCAUCAUGGCUACACACGCGGUUGAUGCGUUUUAUUUAAGUCAAGUGUCAAGUUCUCUACAACCGGAUAUUAACAAAUUCCCAUCUGCCACAUAACCGCGGGCACGGCUCUCAAAAGUUUAUACCCUGCAGGGGUGUCCCAACUUAGCCCAUUAUAAGCUCUCACGGUCAACGAAGGAUAUUCCUUCUCCCGGGAAGACCCGAUCAAUCUCGGAAUCCCGGUUACAAGACAUUUCAACAAUGGUAAAACAAGUCCAGCAAAGCCGCCCGAUGUGUCGACAAUCUCGAUAGGAGUCGCACGUAUCUCGUUCUCAGGACACACCGGAUGAGCUAAGCUUACAGGUACCGACGUAACCCAAGUUGCCAAGUGAUGGUCCCGCACGAUGCUCUAGUUUGGACCAAUACUUAGACAAGCACUGGCCCGGGGGGGGGUAAAAUAAAGAUGACCCUCGGGAUGCGCGACUCCCAAGGGAAAAAAGGCUAGGUGAGGCAAAUGUAAAACCAAGGUUGGGCCUUGCUGGAAGAGUUUUAUUCAAAGCGAACUGUCAAGGGGGUCCCAUAAAUCACCCAACCGCGUAAGGGACGCAAAAACAAGGAACAUAACACCGAUAUGACGGAAACUAGGGCGGCAAGAGUGGAACAAAAUGCCAGGCAUAGGGCCGAGCCUUCCACCCUUUACCAAGUAUAUAGAUGCAUUAAUUAAAUAAGAGGUAUUGUGAUAUCCCAACAUAAACAUAAUCCAACACGGAGUAAUCUUCAUCUUCACCUGCAACUAGCAACGCUAUAAGAGGGGCUGAGCAAAAGUGGUAACAUAGCCAAACAACGGUUUGCUAGGAAGGGUGACAAAGGUUAGAGGUUCAUGGCAAUUUGGGAGGCUUGAAGAGCAAGUGAUAGGUGGCGCAGCAAAGCGAUAGAACGAAGCAACUAGCAUAGCAAUGAUAGUAAUGAGAUCCAAGGUGAUGGUCAUCUUGCCUGAAAUCCCGCUAGGAAGAAGAACGAGUCCAUGAAGAAGAUGAAGCCACGAAGACGAACCAAGCGUAGACGAACGAAUCCUCACGAUCGCAACGAAACGGGAACUAUCGAGAAGAAGCACACAACAUGGUGAACACACCACACAUGAACAGGGCAUGAUGCUCAACCAAGUAUGAUGCAUGACCAGUCUAUAUGAAGCUACUCAUGGCAAGAGAUGAUGCAUACAAGAACAACACAUCAAAGCAAGUUUAAAUGAGGCCGGAAACAACAUAGAACAAAUCCGGUAAGUCCUCAUAUGCAAAUUUCGAAAUUGGUCCAGAUCUGAAUAACCUUAUGUUCAAGUUGUUAAACAGCAAGUUUAAAUGUACCAAGAUGUUCUACACGAAAUUCUAGUCAAGUUACAUAUAAAGUUUAUUAGAUUCGGAGCUACGGCCUAAAAGAUAUGAGCAAAACAAGCUAAACAUGGCAUUGAUGCAAAAUGCAUACAAACAUCAAGGAAACACCUCAAAAUAAGGAUGCAACAUGAUAAUAUGCGACUACAUGCAAAACUAAGCAAGUUUCAUAUAGAGCACACUCCAAACGGAGCAACGGUGCGACACAUACACUCCAAACAAGAUAUAACAACAAACUGUCCAAACCAGCAACUAGGCAUCUAGCAAGCAUCAAAACAAUAUGCUACAGCAACUCAACAUGAAAACAAAAGUCAUGGACGUGAUGUACAGGUAAAGCAUGACAAAACAUGAACACUGAGCUAUCUCCAGAAAUCACUAGAACAUGCUCAAAAGGACAUGGGAAGAUUGCAAAUAAUAACAGAUUCACAGACUUAGCAGAAAUUACUGGACAUGACAGAAAUAACAUCAGGUUGCAAAGUUUAGAGCUAUCAAACAACAUUCUACAGGAACACAUCAUAGCAAACAAAGACAUGGCAUGAAUCUAGUAAUUUCCUAAAACAAAAGUACCUUACUGACCAUGAGCCAAAAAGGCACAGAAGAUACGAUGGCACCCAUGUAAACAUAGCAAGUUUCGUUAAAAGGUUUCAGACUUGGCAGAAAACAGAGCAUGGCAGUAACAGAAAUUAUGAGGGCAUCUUGGUGAGUUGAUUCACUCACCACAAAGCAAUGCAUGACAAAACAAGGAUACCUACAGCAAGAUGGCAUGUUUAUGAAGCUAACCAUGGCAAGAGAAAAUACAUAGCAUGUAUGGAUCAACUACAACAACCUUGGAAAAAAUUGAAUAUCAUGUUAACAAUCUGCCAGGAAUAUUUUAUAGCAAAAGUAGAGUAAGAUUAAGACAUGCUAGGGCACUCCAUAAUUGCAAACAGGGGCAUUAAUGGAUAUAGCACAACUAUAUCUAUAAAACAUCAUUACUGAACAUGCCCAAAAUAAGCAUGGAUCUUACUGUAGACACAUGGAUACAUGGCAACAAAAUAAAAGCAGAUAAAGGACUUAGCAAAAUCCUAAGUCUCUGAAAACAGAAACAUCACGAAGCCUAGUUUGCAUGCUUGGGCUAGUCACCACAUAGAUCACAAAAAAACAUGGCAUACACCUCUGUAAAGAUGGCAUGUCAUAGAUCAAAACACCUGUAGAGCUCAUACCCAUAAGAUGCACACAUCAAUUGCAACAAAAAUAACAAAUCACCAAGUUCUGAUAAAAUAACAGCAGUAAACAUCAUAUAGCACUCUUGCACCAGAGAUUUAGGCAUCAAGAUGGACUCAAACGGGAAUGGCACAAUGGAACAAAAUGAAGAGCAUCUUGUAAUGAACAUUUCGAUAUAUCACACGCAUGAAACGGAGCAGUAUGCAAAGAGUUAUGGUAGGUCAUAUUAUGCACCAGAAUGCAAUAUUUUCAGGACUUGGAGANNNNNNNNNNNNNNNNNNNNNNNNNNNNNNNNNNNNNNNNNNNNNNNNNNNNNNNNNNNNNNNNNNNNNNNNNNNNNNNNNNNNNNNNNNNNNNNNNNNNNNNNNNNNNNNNNNNNNNNNNNNNNNNNNNNNNNNNNNNNNNNNNNNNNNNNNNNNNNNNNNNNNNNNNNNNNNNNNNNNNNNNNNNNNNNNNNNNNNNNNNNNNNNNNNNNNNNNNNNNNNNNNNNNNNNNNNNNNNNNNNNNNNNNNNNNNNNNNNNNNNNNNNNNNNNNNNNNNNNNNNNNNNNNNNNNNNNNNNNNNNNNNNNNNNNNNNNNNNNNNNNNNNNNNNNNNNNNNNNNNNNNNNNNNNNNNNNNNNNNNNNNNNNNNNNNNNNNNNNNNNNNNNNNNNNNNNNNNNNNNNNNNNNNNNNNNNNNNNNNNNNNNNNNNNNNNNNNNNNNNNNNNNNNNNNNNNNNNNNNNNNNNNNNNNNNNNNNNNNNNNNNNNNNNNNNNNNNNNNNNNNNNNNNNNNNNNNNNNNNNNNNNNNNNNNNNNNNNNNNNNNNNNNNNNNNNNNNNNNNNNNNNNNNNNNNNNNNNNNNNNNNNNNNNNNNNNNNNNNNNNNNNNNNNNNNNNNNNNNNGGGCCGGCGGCGGAGGAGCCCACGUGGCACGACCGGAUUGGCGCGGGCGGCGGCGGCGACUGUGUCCGGCGCGGAGAGAGGAGCGGGGCUAGGGUUUGGACUGCGAAAAUGGACGGGGAAGGCCUUUAAAUAGGUAGAGGGAGCUAGGAGAGUCCAAAUGGGGUGCGGCUUUCGCCCACACGAUCGUGAUCGAACGACCGAGAGCAUGGAGGGGGUUUUGCUGGGUUAGUGGGCUGAUUUGGAGGGGUGUUGGGCUGCAAGACAAAAGGGGCUUCGGGCUACGCGGUCAACCGUUGGGGCAUCAAACGACCUACAAAUGGAACGAAAUUUGACGGGCGGUCUGUCGGUGCUAUACCAAGGCCACUCGGCAAAUCUCGGCCCAUUUCGAGAAGGUUUUUCUCCCACUCACGAAACAAGGUCUGAGAGGGGCGACGGGCGCGCGCGAGAGUGUCGGAUCGCGAAACGGACAACGAGGAAAAAGACCGGAUGCAAGUUUUGAAAAACAUGAUGAUGCAAUGCAGAUGAUGACAUGGCAAAAUGCAACACGCAAGAAAAUGACAUGGCAACAACGACGAAUAACUGGAAGACACCUGGCGCAUCGGAUCCGGGGCGUUACAGCUUAGCACUUGAUCGUUUAGUUUACUGCUAUAUCUUUCUUCACGACAUAUACAUGUUCCUAUGACUAUGAGAUUAUGCAACUCCCGAUUACCGAAGGAACACUUUGUGUGCUACCAAACGUCACAACGUAACUGGGUGAUUAUAAAGGUGCUCUAUAGGUGUCUCCAAUGGUACUUGUUGAGUUGGCAUAGAUCGAGAUUAGAAUUUGUCACUCCGAUAGUCGGAGAGGUAUCUCUGGGCCCUCUCGGUAAUGCACAUCACUAUAAGCCUUGCAAGCAAUGUGACUAAUGAGCUAGUUGCGGGAUGAUGCAUUACGGAAUGAGUAAAGAUACUUUCCGGUAUCGAGAUUGAGCUAGGUAUUGAGAUACCGACGAUCGAAUCUCAGGCAAGUAACAUAUCGAUGACAAAGGGAACAACGUAUGUUGCUAUGCGGUUUGACCAAUAAAGAUCUUCGUAGAAUAUGUAGGAACCAAUAUGAGCAUCCAGGUUCCGCUAUUGGUUAUUGACCGGCGACGUGUCUCGGUCAUGUCUACAUAGUUCUCGAACCCGUAGGGUCCGCACGCUUAAAGUUCUGUGACGAUCGGUAUUAUGAGUUUAUAUGUUUUGAUGUACUGAAGAUAGUUCGGAGUCCCAAAUAUGAUCACGGACAUGACGAGGAGUCUCGAAAUGGUCGAGACAUAAAGAUUGAUAUAUUGGAAGCCUAUAUUUGGACGUCGGAAGAGUUCUGGGUGAAAUCGGGAUUUUACCGGAGUGCCGGAGGGGUUAUCGGAACCCCCGGGGGGUUAAUGGGCCUAGUUGGGCCCUAGUGGAGAGAGAGAGGGGCCGACCAGGGCAGGCCGCGUGCCCCCUCCCCCUUUGGUCUGAAUUGGACUAGGAAGGGGGGCGACGCCCCCCUUUCCAUCUCCUUCUCCCCCUUCCUUUCCCCCUCCUAGUAGGAGUAGGAAAGAGGGGAGUCCUACUCCUACUAGGAGGAGGGCUCCUCCUCCUGGCGCGCCCUACAGGGGCCGGCCAGCCUCCCCCCUUGCUCCUUUAUAUACGGGGGCAGGGGGCACCCUAGAACAGACAAGUUGAUCAUUGAUCUCUCCCAGCCGUGUGCGGUGCCCCCUCCACCAUAAUCCACCUCGGUCAUAUCGUAGCGGUGCUUAGGCAAAGCCCUGCGACGGUAGCUUCAUCAACAUCGUCACCACGCCAUCGUGCUGACGAAACUCUCCCUCGAGCUCUACUGGAUCAUGAGUUCGCGGGACGUCACCGAGCUGAACGUGUGCUGAACGCGGAGGUGCCGUACGUUCGGUACUGAGGAUCGGUCGAUCGUGAAGACGUACGACUACAUCAACCGCGUUGUCAUAACGCUUCCGCUUAACGGUCUACGAGGGUACGUGGACGACCCUCUCGUUGCUACGCAUCACCAUGAUCUUGCGUGUGCGUAGGAAUUUUUUUUUGAAAUUACCACGUUCCCCAACACUAUCCACUGUUUGCUACCAUCACUCUGGAUUUGUGCAUGCACUCCUUACAUAAUCUCACUAUGUUUUAUUCCUAUGCAUGUCAGUUAUUGUACACAAUGGAGCUGAACAUGUAGAGCAAAAGAGACGAGCCUUGCGUGGCAAUAAAAUUUCAUGCAGACGUCGCUCCAUGGUGGGCGCAAAGGCAGCCCCCCCUCCACCCAUUUCGGAUCAUAAUCAAGAGGAAGAUAACUGUUCUGAGGGGGAUUCAGAAGCAGAAGACCACUCCUAUUUACCCCAUGAGGUCUUCGCUCUAACUUGGCAUGCUGAUGUUGGUAAUAUCAUGCAUAUGGUGCCUUGCAUUGCUUACUGUAUACAUCAAAGAUGUCAUCUGCUUAGUUUAGACAUGCUUUGUGUCAAUGCCAUCUGUUUAGUUUCUUUAUCGUAUAUGUGAAUCAUGCAAUGCCAUCUUGUUUAGCCAGGAAUCAUAUAUGUGAAUUUUGCAAUGCCACCCUGGUUAGCCAGUCAUCUUAUAUGUGAAUUAUAUCAUGACAUCAUUUUUUAUUACGUGUUAAAUUUGUCAACAAUUUUAGUACAUUCAAUUACUCUUCCUGUGCAUCAGCCAUUCGGCACGGUCAUGGAAAAAUCUAGAGUGGAAACAAGGUCUUCAGAGCAGACAAUGCUAUCUGACGAAGCGCAUGUCUUGCUGGUUACAGAUAGCUUCUCAGAGGAGGAUUCAGAGACAGAUGACCAGUCCUAUUCCCCCCCCACCGAGGUGCACGCUCUAACUUGGCAGGGUUAUGUUGCUCAUAUCGUACGUAUGGUAUCUUGCAUUGCUAUGUCAUUUGCUUAGUUUAGACAUGCUUUGUGUGAAUGCCACCUAUUUAGUGUCUAAUUACCAUAUAUGUGAAUUAUGCAACGCCAUCUUGUUGCAAGACAUUAUAUAUGUGAAUUAUGCAAUGCUAUCUUGUUGCAAGGCAUUAUAUAUGUGAAUUAUGCAAUGCCAUGCUGUUUAGCCAAGCGUCAUAUAUGUGAAUUAUAUCAUGCCGUCCUUUUUUUGUAUUUCUCAUUGCUUUUGUCGACAAUGUUUGUAUAUUCAACUGCUCUUCCUGUGCAUCAGCCAUUUGAAUUGGUGAUGGAGAAAUCUGGAGUGAAAACAAGGUCUUCAGAGCAGACAAUGCUACCUGCUGAAGCAGAUAUUUUGCUGGUUACAGAUAGCUCUUCAGAGGAGGAUUCAGAGGCAGAUGACUAGUCCUAUUAUCCCCCUGAGGUGUAUGCUCAAACUUGGCAGGGUUAUAUUACUCAUAUCAUGCAUAUGUUGUAUUGCAAUACUUAGUUUUUACAUCAUAUACACGAUAUUGAAUGCCAUCUCCUUAGUUGAUACAUCAUAUAUGCGAUUGCCCUAUGCUCACUUCCUUAGUAUAUAAAUCAUAUAUUUGAAUUAUAUCAUGCCAUGAUGUUUACAUAGACAGCAUGUAUCUGAAUUAUGGCAUGCCAACCCAUUUUCUAAAGACAUAAUAUAGUUAUAUCAUCUCAUCAUGUUCACAUAGUCAUCAUAUUUUGAAUUAUGUCAUUCUAUCCGUGAAUUAUAUCAUGCCAUCAUGUUUCCAUCGACGGCAUGUUUGUGAUUUAUGGCAUGCCAACCACUUUAAUAGACACAUCGUAUAGUUAUAUCAUGUCAUCCUGUUUACAUAGUCAUCAUAUUUUGAAGUAUGUCAUUCUAUCCUGUUUAGUUAGCCAUCAUACAUGUGAAAUUGUGUCAUGCUAUCCGGUUUAAUUAGCCAUCAUAUAUGUGAAAUUAUGUCCUGCUAUUCUAUUUGGUUAGACAACAUAAAUGUGAAUUAUUUCAUGCCCUGUUUUCUUCCCUACUAUCCAUUGCACCUGUCUAUCUUAUAAUGUUUGUACAUUCAAUUACUUUUCUUGUUUAUCAGCCAUUUCAAUUGGAGGGCGUGAUGGCAGUAUCUGUGGGAGUAAAAGCACGGUCUUCAGAAAAGAUCGUGCUACCUGUCGAUGGAGAUAGAACCACGGUUGUACUUGCCCAAGAAGCAGCCCCACCACACAUAACCCAGACUCACGCAGAUUGUACCCCUACCCAGUUGGACAGAGAACCAGCUACACCCCUUCUAACCCCAACCCCAGCAGAUAGUAACCCAGUUCCCAUUGACACAGCACCGUCUCCACCACAGAGCACCCAAACACGAGCAGUUAGUAAGGCAACUGCAGUGCCCAAAGCACGAGGACUACCACUCCGAACCCCAAGUCAAUGCUUAAAGCGGAAGAAGAAUUGUUCUCAGGUUAGGUUCCGUAGCUAUGGUUCAUACUACUUUGAUCUUGCAUCACUGUAUUUACUCAUACCAACUAAUUUCAAAUUUGAAGGAUGCAAUUGAAACUCCAAUGGCGCAACAGGUAUGUUUUAAACCUGUUUCUUUAACGUGUUUGCUGUUGUAACUUGCUCUAUGUUGAUUUCAGUUUCAAUUGAAUAAACAGUUAUGUUCUCAUGCCAUGCACAUUACAAGUGUUGUUAUUGCUGUGUAGUUUCCCACACUUAUAUUCUGUCUAUGCUGCUUUGUCUUAAAUAGAUAUGAUUCGAACUGUAUCUAUCUUGAUUUGGCAACAUAAACUAGAAUGAUAUAGACCAUACAGUGACCAUACUACAUAGAUAUAUGUUUGUUUCAUGUUGUUAUCCUGCCCACCUUACUACUGAACUGGUUUACCAAAAUGAGUUUCAUAUACUACAUUGUAAACAUGUGAUGUGUUUCUUUGUUUCUCUUUUAGAACGCGGAUAAAAUAUUGGAGAAGAGUACCCCGUUAUGCAAUGGUAAAGGAAGUAAUGCAGAUAAGGUUCAAGAUAGUGAGACAUCUAUGUUGGUCUCCAAGAAAGCUGAUAAAAACUAUAUUGAAGACACUGAGACAACCACAAAGUCAUGUCUUGAUGUAGUGUUCGAGUUACUGGCUACUACUGCUGGCACCAGCUCUUCGAACUCGCUGCCUGAAUCAGUUCGGCUUCUUGAGUCUCAACUUCAAGUUAAAAGACAUCGAUCAGAUGUUAUACGACGAGAAGCCGAAGGACUGAGGAAGUCCCUGCAGAAUUCAGAUGCAUACUUUCUGGUGCAACAGCAAGUGUUGGAGGAUUUAAGCGCCAAACAAGAAAAAGUUAAUAAGCUUGCUAAGCAUCUUGCCAGCAUUAUGGGUACCUAGGAUAUUGUUUCUUGAGCUCUUCUGAAGUGGUUUCAGUUCUGGACUUGUUUUGCUGCGGCGUUUAUAUGCUGCUUUGUUCCCUAUAUUUGCACUGGUGGCGAACUUUGAUGCCCAGUGGAUGUAAUAUGUGUAAUAGCCGUGAUAGCCUAGCGUAAGUUGCUUGCUUAUUUAUUUCCUUAUUGUCUUGUUUAUUUGUUUUCUUGUAGUCAGCGCAGUUCUUUUUCCGCGGUUUGCUAGUGGCCGCAAUAACCUAUUUUUUAAAACUAGGCCACAUUAACCAUGGGCUAUAUAUUUACUGUAGUUAACAUGGGCCUCCUACGGGCCGUAGAAACAAUGGGCCUUCUACGGGGCGUAGAAACAAUGGGCCUUAUACCGGCCGUAGACACAAUGGGCCUUCUACGGGCCGUAUCAUCAAUGGGCCUUCUACGGGCCGUAUGAUCGGUUCGCCAAAAAUGUGUCAAUAACAGACCACAUUAUGGCCGUAAAUGGGCUAGAGUUGAAAUCGUCCGUUCAUGGGCCGACCAUAAUGGGUCGUCGUUAAUCGGCCGUAUUUGAUGAUGCUAUGAAAACGACCCAACGUAUUAACGGGCCACAAACGGGCCGACUGUAACCACGGGCUGAAUUUGGCCCACAAUAAGAAAAUGACAGUAACGGGCCGAAAGUAAACGAAUGCUGGAAAUGAGCCCAAGAAUAAAUGGGCCCUGAGAAGGCCGAAAGAUAACAUGGGCUGGAAACGGCCCAACGGAAUAAUGGGCCGUUAAUGGGUAUAAAGUGAUACACUGUUCAUUACGGGCCAGUUUUACCACGAGCCGUCAAUGGGCCGAGGGUUACUAAGGGCCUCAUAUGGGCCGAAAGACGUCAUGGGCCAUACAUGGGCUGGAAGUUAAAACGGGCUGGAAUUAUAUUGGACGGCCCAGAUGAUGCUACUGGGCCUAAUUCGGAUAGGCCGUAAACGGGCCCUGGGUUAGCGGGCUGUAAAUGGGCUAUAUGCGAACAGGCCGUUAACAGGCUUGUCGUGAGCCAGCCCACCACCUUUUGACCAAGUCAAACGGGCCGGCCUUUUCACAGGAAUGGGCCUCUGUUGGGCCGUGCCACAUGUCGACGUAUCAUAGGCACUUUGGGUCCAAUGAGUGGAAGACAUCUGUCCCAACGGUGAGCUGACACGUGUUUGCUCCAGCCAAUGAUGAUUUUACACGUGGAAAAUCCCCAUUGGUCGGGGCUGUUAACGGGUUAUCGGAUCCAAAACCGGACCCGAUAGCUUAACGGCGUUCCGUUACGGUGGAUGCCUGAUGUCUACUACACAACCUUCUUCUUGUAGACGUUGUUGGGCCUCCAAGUGCAGAGGUUUGUAGGACAGUAGCAAAUUUCCCUCAAGUGGAUGACCUAAGGUUUAUCAAUCCGUGGGAGGCGUAGGAUGAAGAUGGUCUCUCUCAAACAACCCUGCAACCAAAUAACAAAGAGUCUCUUGUGUCCCCAACACACCCAAUACAAUGGUAAAUUUUAUAGGUGCACUAGUGCGGCGAAGAGAUGGUGAUACAAGUGCAAUAUAGAUGAUAGAUAUAAGUUUUUGUAAUCUGAAAAUAUAAAAACAGCAAGGUAACUAAUGAUAAAAGUGAGCAUAAACGGUAUUGCAAUGCUAGGAAACAAGGCCUAGGGUUCAUACUUUCACUAGUGCAAGUUCUCUCAGCAAUAAUAACAUAAUUGGAUCAUAUAACUAUCCCUCAACAUGCAACAAAGAGUCACUCCAAAGUCACUAAUAGCGGAGAACAAACAAAGAGAUUAUUGUAGGGUACGAAACCACCUCAAAGUUAUUCUUUCAGAUCGAUCUAUUCAAGAGUUCGUACUAGAAUAACACCUUAAGAUACAAAUCAACCAAAACCCUAAUGUAACCUAGAUACUCCAAUGUCACCUCGAGUAUCCGUGGGUAUGAUUAUACGAUAUGCAUCACACAAUCUCAGAGUCAUCUAUUCAACCAACACAAAGAACUUCAAAGAGUGCCCCAAAGUUUCUACCGGAGAGUCAAGACGAAAACGUGUGCCAACCCCUAUGCAUAAGUUCACAAGGUCACUGAACCCGCAAGUUGAUCCCCAAAACAUACAUCAAGUAGAUCACGUGAAUAUCCCAUUGUCACCAUAGAUAAGCACAUGCAAGACAUACAUAAAGUGUUCUCAAAUCCUUAAAGACUCAAUCCGAUAAGAUCACUUCAAAGGGAAAACUCAAUCCAUUACAAGAGAGUAGAGGGGGAGAAACGUCAUAAGAUCCAACUAUAAUAGCAAAGCUCGCGGUACAUCAAGAUCAUGCCAAAUCAAGAACAUGAGAGAGAGAUCAAACACAUAGCUACUGGUACAUACCCUCAGCCCUGAGGGUGAACUACUCCCUCCUCGUCAUGGAGAUCGCCGGGAUGAUGAAGAUGGCCACCGAUGAGGGAUCCCCCCUCCGGCAGGGUGCCGGAACAGGGUCCCGAUUGGUUUUUGGUGGCUACAGAGGCUUGCGGCGGCUGAACUCCGGAUCUAUUCUGUUCCCCGAUGUUUUUAGGGUAUAUGGAUAUAUAUAGGCGAAAGAAUUCGAUAAGGGGAGCCACGAGGGGCCCACGAGGGUGGAGGGCGCGCCCAGGGGGUAGGCGCACCCUGUGCCUCGUGCCUUCCUCAUUGCUUCCCUUACGUACACUCCAAGUCUUCUGGAUUGCUUCCGUUCCAAAAAUAACUCUCCCGAAGGUUUCAUUCCAUUUGGACUCCGUUUGAUAUUCCUUUUCUGUGAAACACUGAAACAAGGAGAAAAACAGAAACUGGCACUGGGCUUUGGGUUAAUAAGUUAGUCCCAAAAAUAAUAUAAAAGUGCAUAGUAAAGCCCAUUAAACAUCCAAGAUGGAUAAUAUAAUAGCAUGAAUACUUCAUAAAUAUAGAUACGUUGGAGAUGUAUCAAUGCCACGUGUCGGUCACCCUUGACGAAAGCACUUCUGUCACGCGCGAUUUAUCGUCAUGGAAGUGGACACUUCCGUGAUGAUAAUUUUGGUAAUGUCAUGGAACACUUCUACGACAGCACAGGUAUGACUAUCUUGAUUCAGUCAUAAAAUUGUCAUGGAUGUACAUGCAUGACAGAAAACGUGACCUACUGUGACAAACACGUAUCAUCGCGGAAGUGUAUUUUUUUGUAGUGGAUCUAGGUGUCAUACCUAGUGCAUCGGGUCCAAUGAAAAUCUUUUGUGACAAUACUGGUGCAAUUGCCUUGGCAAAGGAAUCCAGAUUUCACAAGAGAACCAAGCACAUCAAGAGACGCUUCAAUUCCAUCCGCGAUCAAGUCAAGGAGGGAGACAGAGAGAUUUGCAAGAUACAUACGGAGCUGAAUGUUGUAGACCCGUUGACUAAGCCUCUCUCACGAGCAAAACAUGAUCAGCACCAAGACUCCAUGGGCGUUAGAAUCAUUACUGUGUAAUCUAGAUUAUUGACUCUAGUGCAAGUGGGAGACUGAAGGAAAUAUGCCCCAAAGGCAAUAAUAAAGUUGUUAAUUAUAUUUCCUUAUAUCAUGGUAAAUGUUUAUUAUUCAUGCUAGAAGUGUAUUAACCAGAAAUUUAGUACAUGUGUGAAUAUAUAGACAAACAGAGUGUCACUAGUAUGCCUCUACUUGACUAGCUCGUCGAAUCAAAGAUGGUUAAGUUUCCUAGCCAUAGAUAUGAGUUGUCAUUUGAUUAACGGGAUCACAUCAUUAGGAAUGAUGUGAUUGACUUGACCCAUUCCAUUAGCUUAGCAUUUGAUCAUUUAGUAUAUUGCCAUUGCUUUCUUCAUGACUUAUACAUGUUCCUAUGACUAUGCGAUUAUGAAACUCCCGAAUACCGGAGGAACACUUUGUGUGCUACCAAACGUCACAACGUAACUGGGUGAUUAUAAAGGUGCUCUAUAGGUGUCUCCGAUGGUACUUGUUGAGUUGGCGUAGAUCGAGAUUAGGAUUUGUCACUCCGAUUGUCGGAGAGGUAUCUCUGGGCCCUCUCGAUAAAGCACAUCACUAUUAUCCUUGCAAGCAAUGUGACUAAUGAGUUAGUUGCGGGAUGAUGCAUUACUGAACGAGUAAAGAGACUUGCCGGUAACAAGAUUGAACUAGGUAUUGAGAUACCGACGAUAGAAUCUCGGGCAAGUAACAUACCGAUGACAAAGGGAACAACGUAUGUUGUUAUGCGGUUUGACCGAUAAAGUUCUUCGUAGAAUAUGUGGGAGCCAAUAUGAGCAUCCAGGUUCCGCUAUUGGUUAUUGACCGGAGACGUGUCUCGGUCAUGUCUACAUAGUUCUCGAACCCGUAGGGUCCGCACGCUUAACGUUCGGUGACGAUCGGUAUUAUGAGUUUAUGUCUUUUGGUGUACCGAAGAUAGUUCGGAGUCCCGGAUAUGAUCACGGACAUGAGGAGGAGUCUCGAAAUGGUCGAGACAUAAAGAUUGAUAUAUUGGACGACUAUAUUCGGACGCCAGAUGAGUUUCGGGGGUCACCGGAUAUUUAUCGGAGUGCCGGGGGGUUAUCGGAACCCCCGGGGGAACUAAUGGGCCAAAUGGGCCUUGAGAGAGAGAGGGGGGAGCCAUGGGCUGGCCGCUCCCCCCCCUUGGGAGUCGGAAUUGGACAAGGAGGGGGCGGCGCCCCCUCUUUCCUCCCUCUCUCCCUCUCCUUCCUCCCCCCUUCCCCCUUCCUAGUAGGACUAGGAAAAGGGGAGUCCUACUCCUACUAGGAGGAGGAUUCCCCCUCUCCUUGGCGCGCCCCAAGGCCGGCCAGCCUCCCCCCUUGCUCCUUUAUAUACGGGGGCAGGGGGCACCCUAGAACACACAAAUUGAUCAUUGAUCUCUUAGGUGUGUGCGGUGCCCCCUCCACCAUAAUCCACCUCGGUCAUAUCAUCGUAGUGCUUAGGCGAAGCCCUGCGCCGGUAGCUUCAUCAUCACCGUCAUCACGCCGUCGUGCUGACGAAGCUCUCCCUCGACACUUUGCUGGAUCGUGAGUUCGUGGGACGUCACCGAGCUGAACGUGUGCAGAUCGCGGAGGUGCCGUACGUUCAGUACUAGGAUCGGUCGAUCGUGAAGACGUACGACUGCAUCAAUCGCGUUGUCAUAACGCUUCCGCUUACAGUCUACGAGGGUACGUGGACAACACUCUCCCCUCUCGUUCCUAUGCAUCACCAUGAUCUUGCGUGUGCGUAUGAUUUUUUUUUGAAAUUACUACGUUCCCCAACAACUCAGUGAUCAGUUGUACAUGGGAGAUCGGCGAUGAGGAGGAGACGACUCCGAGGACGCGCUGCUCCGAUUCUUCUUCCAAUGUGCGGGACUGCACAUCUAGUGGUCAUCUUGUGAUCUAUUUCCUAAGCAUGCUCCUGGGUGAUGUACACGGUAGGAUUAAGUUUUAAUUGGCAAUAGUUGCACGCCGCGCAGCGCAACAUGUGUUUAACCCUUUGUCCACUCUUGGGGAAUACCCAUGGGUUUUACCCAAUAGUGUUUGACAUCUAAACUAUUGAUGACGAAGGCUGAAAAUGAUCUUUGGUCUUCAAUGGGUUUUGGUGACUAAUGAGAAGACGAUCAAGAGUAUUUUGUUUUAUGAAGUUUAUUUUAGGAAUAUAAUCCUCACUAGUGAGUGGAAACAUCAUUUGUGACUCCUACUUUUGUUCUAACAAGUGGUUGGCCCUUCUAGCUCAUAGCUUGUAUGUUAUAGACUGUUGAUGAAUUCAAGAUUCAAAUUGAGGUUAAGUACAACUGUACUAUUCAGAGGGGUACAUGCAAAUUAACUCGAGAUGAACUUUAUCUCAAGAUCCAAAAUAAAAUUGGCAAGUUUUCCAAAUCUUACCCUCUAAUUUCUCAACUAUUAGUUUUCCCAGUACUUCUUGUGUUUUUACCUGGUACUAUUGAUCAUGUGACGAUUGAGUAUUUAUCCUGAGCUAACCUAGUUUUCUAGGUCUGCUUUAGGAACGCCGAGAGUUCUUCUCCAACACCACUGAGUUGUGUUUUCUUUAAGACCAUCUUUGUUAGCUCUGGUACCUUGGAGCAUAACAUUUGGCACUUCCGAGCACCUCUUGGUGCUUCAUCUCAACGUCUCAUCAUAGGUAUGGUACUCCAUAGCGAAAUCGAUAUGAUACCUCUGAGCUUAUACUAACCCCUUCUACAUCAAUUCCUUGUGAGAACUACUCCGUCGACCCUUGUACCUCCAAGAUCUUUUCUCUGGACUUCAGAGCAUGUCCUAUCUCUCACAGAAAUGAGGUAUAUUUGUGUUUGGUACCUUCGACCUUUUGUUUCAAGGAACAUCAAGUAUUUAGAUUUCUAGACGCUUGCUGGAUAAGCUAGUACCUCUGAGUACCGUGCACCUUCUAGGAACACUGAGUUUCCAUUUGAAAUUUUGAAAGCAUUCGUUAGCACUGAGUUUUUUUCCUCUAGAACUUUCGGCUAGUUACUUUUCCAGAGAAAUAAUAAGAUUUAUGCAUUCUCUAUAUAAAUCCCACACCUCUUGAGUGUAUGAGCAGUUGUGAGCAUGCUUAAGAGACUGUGAGAUCCUAGAGAGCAGUUCUUUGUGCGUUUGAAUGACACGUUCCUCCCUUUCUUGAAUCCCUUAUCUAUGGGCUCCAUCUCUCUUUGCUUCAACCUUAUCCUUGAGAGAGAGAGAGAGAGAAUGGGGUUCCUCCGAGAGUUUGGUUGAAGGAGUUUUGAGGAGUUCAUCCAAGUGGAUUUGCUUUGCUUGUUAUUAUUAGAGGGUGUGCACCUCCUAGGCAGUUAAGAGUCACUUGAAAGCCUUCAAGGCAUGAAAUAAUCAAAAGAAUGUACAAGGUCGUUGAUUGUCAUCUUCAUGCAAGAUCAACCUCAAGUGAAGCUUUCAUUUUUAUGGUAUCAAGUCUAUGGUGGAAUAGGUGGGCAAGUGUUUUGUGGCAUCUUUGUGAGUGUCGUUGUGGACACCUUUCUGGUAUCAAGACUUGGUCUCUGAACCUCCCCAGCAAGGAGUAGGAUUGCACAACUAUUUGGAUCUUGGGAAAACACUGUCGCAUCAAGUGUGUUUACAUCUCUUUUCCCUAAUGAUGUCCCACAAGUGUAGGGGAUUGAUUGUAGAUCUUAUCUAUAAGUAAAAGUGUCGUUCACAUCAGGAGCAGAAGGAAUUGAUAAGUGCAAAAGUAUCAAGGAUUCACUACAAGUGCUAAAAGGUGUAGUGGUUUGUGGUGAUGGAGUUGCAAAGAAAUUUAAAUAACAAUAAAAACUAACAGUGUGCAUCAAGUGGCCCAAUCCUUACUGAUAUCAAGGACGAGCCGGUUGUGUUACUUAUGGUGAUCAAACAUUCUCGAGUACAACGAGAAUAUUGCAUAUUUGUUAAUUUAUACCUAAAUCUAUUAAAACCAUUAAGCUACGCAUGAAGGGCGGCCAAUCAGCUAUGCCACAUGGCGCAAGCUGGUUGGCCGUGGCUACGCAUGAAGGGCGGCCAACCAGCUAUGCCACUUGACACAAGCUGGUUGGCCGUGGUGAGAAAUCUUUUGGAUUCUUUUUAGAUGAAGGUGUGGAUUAUUUUUUAUAUUUAUUUUUUCUUUUUAGAUGAACAUGAGGACCUCUCGUAUUUUUUAAAUGGAGGGUUAUGCAAAGUGGCACUCGCCAGUAGGCUGCGGUGGUAAUUUUUUACCUUUUUACCUUUUUUAGAUGAAGAUGAUGAAUUUUUCUGAGAUGCUUUUUUAGACAGAGGCGAGGACUCUAUGUAUUUUUCUUAAAAAUGAAAACGUGCGCAUAGCUUCCUCUCAAGUGGCGCCAUAGGGUGGCGCCCCAACCACUAGUAUUCUACAAAACCAUUGACUCCUUAGCAAGCAUAUGCAACUACUAUGAGAAAUUAAGACAAAAAGUCAAACCAUAGCCAUCUUCUCUAGGGUCUCUAUUCAUCACUCAUGUUCUGAUUCACAAACUCAAGGAACGGUCAUUCUGUCACUCUGGCAUCAUAUUUUGAACUUAUUUUAACACAAUGCUCUCCUGUCAGGCCCAUAUAGGUGAAGUGAUACGCAGUCAAAGGUUGAAUACCACCACUAUAGAAUUACACCACAGCAUGCUCGAACAACAAUCUUUAUUGCAAAUUUAUAUGUCCAUUAAAAACUAGUUUUCUCCCAUGUGCUCAAGAACACUAUGGAACUACUCACGGCACAUCAUAAUGAGCAUAUUUAGAGGUGUAAUGAUAAAUAUGACAAUAUGAAAGUACAAAUCAUUCACCAAUAAAGCACACAACGUCAACCGCCAAAGCAUCAAUUAAAACAAAUAAGUGAUAACAGUAACUGAUCCACUCCAAUUGUACAUAGAUAGAUGGAGAUGGAAAAUAGGGUGAUGGUGUUGCUGGGGGAGAUGAUGAAGAUGUUCCCUUUGAUGCACCAGAGUUGGUGAUGACGAUUACUUCAAAUUCCUCCUGCUAGAGAGGACAUGUCUUAACGGAAACAAUCAUCCAAGAAGAGACAUAGGGUUCUACCUCGAAGAGGCAAUAGAAAAGUUCUUGAAAAACGAUAUACAGUCUACGCCUCUAGGGGAGGGCAUAUGCAUCGGAGAGGACACCUGGCGAGGCCUAUGGAUCCCAAACGCCAUGUGUAGGCAUCUUGGCAGGUAGGGCGCCUAGGGUGGGCCCACCAGGCACCCCGUGGCUACCUCAUAGUGGCCUAGUGACUUUUUUCAUACAUAUAUCAACCCGUAUUUUUAUUAUAUAUUUAUGUUCUUGAGAGAAUAUAUUUUCUUCAUGAGCUUUUAUUUUCCCCUUCUGGCAGCCUCUUCCGUAAUUAUUUAGGCAAUUUUCUACAUUAUAAGAUAAAUCCAAGUCAAAAAGAAUAAAAAAUAAUUUAGUAUGCAUAAAAGUAGAGUACUCAUCCUCGGAGAUUGUAAUGCAAAAGCACGUGUUACUUAACUCCUACUCCCUCUAUAAAGAAAUAUAGUAGCAUUUAGAUCACUACUUUAGUGAUCUAAACGCUCUUAUAUUUCUUUACGAAGGGAGUACUUCCUUGCAAGUUUAGCUUUUGCAUUCCUACUUUGUUUUAGACUUCCAUUUGUAGGCGUUUCUAAGGUUCCAAAUAGAAAAGCUAAAGCUUGACUAACAUAAAAUUUGGAGUAGAAUUUAUUUGAUAAGAAUAUUAACCCCCUCCCCCACUAUUCCAUAGAACUCGGUCCAGCAUGGACCUUUAUGACACUACAGGAUAUCUAGCAACCUAGACAACACAUUGUCAUCAUAGAGAGUCCAACUUUCAUUAAAAAGAUGUAUGAAUUUUGCAAGAAAAAUACAAGCUUCACAAGUUGAGGGUCAUUAGCCUCAACUUUUGGUGUUUUUGCUGAAAACUCGGUGAAGAAAUCUAGAUGACACAUUGUUGUAAUGUACCAAAAUCACCAUGAACUCUUCUCCCGCUUUGGUCUGAAUGUGUGUGUGUGUGACACGUGGGACUUUAGGUGUCAUAUAUUAUGACAAUUUGUUUUGGCAAAAACAUACGGGUCAGGUCCUGCUACAAUGGUAUGCCUUUUCCAACAUGAUGUCGGCUCGACCCAUUUUUGGACAAAUACAUCCAAUAACUACAACCCACUUUGAGUUGUGCCCAACUUGCCGGUCUACCCCGUUUAGUGUCAAACGCAUCUUCACAUGUUUUGGGUUAAGCUUGUUUUUAUACUCGUUUAGACCGAGCAUAUUCUUCUGUCUGUUUGUCAUAGUUCUUAUGAUUGGGCCUAUCAAAAGGCCCACUUAAGAAUUGUUGCGGUUAAGCCUAUUUAGAAGGUCCACUUAAGAUCAAAAUAAACCCUAGCUUCCCCUAUAUAUAUAGUCCUACACCAUCCACCUUAUUCUACACCGCUUCUAGUCUAGUACCUAGAUAUGACAACCAUUCACCUUUUAUCUCCGCCGUCUCAUCUCCCAUGGUCACAACAAUCGCCAUAGCUUGUAAAAUGUUUCGCCGCAUCGACCCCUCCAAUAAAUCUCCCAACCCCAGGCUACCCUAAUCUUGGAGCUCCCUCUUCAAUCGGUACUAUUCUGAAUUUUGUUUGUUUACAAUCAAAUAGUGAUAGAUUUGAUGUAAGAUAUUAUAUCUAAUCUGUGCAUAUGUUUUUUUAUUUGUAUUUUGGAUGAUAUUGGUUUAGAUCUAUGAACACAAUAGAUGUCUGGUCGUUAUAUUUUUGCGGCGGCGGUGCGUUUGCUACGAUAACAUGGUGUUUGCUUAGUAAGUGAGGAAAGAUAUUGUACCAUGCACUACAUGGAAAUGAUGUCACAACGACGCGGUGGCCGGCAAGGGUGUGGCGGCGGCGUUUGUGAGAGGGAGGUUGUGAGGAUGAGGGUGUUUUGGUGUUUAAGUUGUUGAUAGUGUGGUUCAAAAAAUAUUUAUCCUUUUCUUUAGGGUUGAAAAGGUUAGUUCAUAAUUGGAAACAAAGUAGAAUUGCGGGACAGGAUUUGUGGCACGCAGAUGAGGGGGUAUCGAACCCCUCGCGCAUGCUUUUUCUGUUGAUUUUCAAUUCAAAACUUUCAUAUAUUUCCAACCAAAAGUUUAAAUUAAGUUCUGUUUUGAGAUUCAUGUUGCUUGUGAAUAUGUUUGGUAAGUUUUAAGUGUCAAAACUUAAUAGGAAUGGAUGACAAAAUGGUAAAGAUUAAGAACUGAAUCUGUAAGAAUCGGGACUAGAUCUUAGAAAAUGUAAAACGACUUCACGGAUCCCGGAACAAUCGUGCGGCCGGGUUGGGCUGCGGAAGUGCGUGCCCCCGAGAGUUUUCGAUAGAGUUGGUUAGAUUUGACACCUUUCCGCUUUCAUUAAUUCUUCAUAUAUCUCUUCAAAGAAAAUCUUAAAUUUGAGUGUAAUUAAUAUAUUAAUAUUUUUCAAAAAAUCAAUUAAUGUAUUAAUCGACAUGUUGAUUUCCCUGUACUCCAUUUGCAUUUGUUUUUGGGAAAGCAAAGAUAGCGAUAGAUCCGCAUAUUUGGAAACACGGCCGGCGAGACCGCGUUCGGUCGGUCGGUCGGUUAAUUUGUACUCUAUCCGUUUACGAACCCAACUCGACGGCCAAGGAAAAAAGAGUAGGACUCUCGGCGCCCAAGGAACCUUCCCUUAUAUGCGCGUCCCUCCUUUCCAAUUGUGCAGGUCAUGACGCAGCGCCCAAACAAAACUCUUCCUCCGUGGAGCGGCGCGUACAAGAUCGACGAAAUCCAGGUUGCCUGUCUCCGUCACGCUCACGCCGCCAAGGGAGAUCUCCCGUGAGGUGGAAUGGAGAAAGAAUCCCGACCCGCUGAGUAUCACCGGCUCGAGCCGGAGGAACCAGAGCCCGUCGCCAGCCCUGGCGCCGCCGCCGCCGCGGGUCCCAUCUACGACGUGUACAUGGACGAGUUGGAGGCGGAGGAGGCGUACCUGGAGGGCCUCGACGUCCCCGCGGGUCCCGUCGUCCUCGACGCGGACACGGAGGAGGCCGUGGCGGCGGCGGUGGAGGCGGAGCGGCAGGCCGCCAUGGCCGCCGACGAGGAGAUGGCGCACGCGCUGCACAUGCAGGACCUCGUGGAGGCGGAGGAGUGGGAGCUGCGUGACCUGGACCUGGAGCAGCCGCCCGGCGACUACCCCGCCUCCUCCAGGGCCGGCGUCGGCUUCGGCGCCAGGGCCACCGCGGAUAACUUCUUGGAGUUGGAGAGACAGAGCGGGACCUUCGAGAGCAUCCAUGAGGUGGAGAGCGGAACCGUCUUCCUCGGCAAUUCGAGAAUCCCGGAACCCCUCGAGUGUCUGGAAAGUCUGCCAGGCCCAAGCACUGCCGGCGUCGCCGCAUCUCCGGCGAGACGGACCAUCCUCUCCCAAAACGCCGCCGGCUCCUCGUCAAGCCAGCAAGUCCCCGGACACGGGGUAGCCGCUACUGUGCCAAGCGUGACCCCGCCCGUCAGCUUCGUCCCAUCGACAAGAAGAUGCGGCGCUCUCUGCGCGAUCGCCCCGCGGGCAAGACCAAUCGGUCCUUUCGACGACCCCGUUUCCGUGAAAAGACGGGCCCUCCUCGCCGACGCCGCCUCAUCGGUUAUGUUCCCCGCAAUGCAAGAAGGGCACGACAACGGCUGGUACGAGUGCAUCGUCCUCGACGCUGCUGUGAAGCUAGAGCAGCCGGAGAAGCAGGGAUUGCUCGAAUCUUUGCAGCUGUGCCUUCCAAGAUCUGAUGAACCCUGCAAGCCCGCCGUCGCGGCCGCCGGCGAAGAAGAAGAGGAAGAAGAGGGCGGAUUCUCCCUUCCGAAGUUCUGCCAGAGGUGGGGCGUCAGCCCGUCCGACCUCGAGCCCGACGCGCCCGGCCCGUCGACGGCGAAGGUGCCCCCUCUGGCCGACGACGAGGUGCCCACGUUCGACUGCGGCAUCUGCAUGGACACCCUCCCCGUCUUCGACCUCUUCCACGGGCUCCCCUGCAAGCACAAGUUCUGCGCGACGUGCAUGACCACGUACGUGGAGGGCAGGAUCCGGGCGAGCGAGCUGCCCAUCCCGUGCCCCGACGCGGCGUGCAAGGGCAAGGAGAACGCCGUCCUCCACCCGGAGAAGUGCAAGAAGGCGAUCGACUACGGCGCGUUCGGCGACUGGGGCGCCCGGCUCACCGAGAGCGCGCUCCCGCCGGACCGGCGCGCGUACUGCCCGAACCGGCGGUGCGGGGUCAUCCUGGAGACGAGCGGCCAGGCGGAGCCGGCCAUGGCGCCGUGCCCGGCGUGCAAGCACCUGCUGUGCGCCACCUGCGGCAUGGAGUGGAGCCCGGACGGGGCGGCCGGCGAGCACGACUGCGCCAAGGGCCCCGACGCCGCGCUCGUGCGGAGGCUCGCGCAGGAGCGCCAGUGGAAACAGUGCCCGAGCUGCAGGAUGAUCGUCGAGAGGAGCUUCGGAUGCAAUCGAAUGACAUGCAGGUAUUACUCUCAGUCUCAUCUCAAUUGAUCCUUUAUGCUCUGUUAAUUUCCUGUUAUCUGAAUUUAUUUCACAUAUCAAGUUUUCUAGAGCUAAGUAAAACACUUAAUUAUUAGCUGUAUUCAUCAGGGGGGAAGGGAACUAUCAUUGUCAUCUUUAUGUUUUACAUCAUCUAGUGUAGUAAAACCUACUACCAACACUUAGUUCAAAGUACUUUACCGUGCAUAAUUCGUAUUCAAAUGUAAAACAUUUUCAUAAGUAUCGUCGGAUGAGUAGGAAAUAUCAAACCUCAAAAUGAUUUGGUACACUUGGUUUGCUGAGCUCUUGCGCGGCCAUGUUUUUUGGCAUGUUUAGGACAUAUUCAACGAUGACCCGCAAAUUCCUUCGGUAUUUGUUCGAAAAUCGGUAUGGACCAAUGUCUGGACACUGAUACAAAAGCCGGCCAUUGAACCGUACCCGCAUCCAUUUGAAAACAAUUAUGUGUUAGUAAAAUAAAACAGCUUCCACCAAGGUAAAAUAAAACACCUUUCACAAACUUGUUGCUUCCGCCAAACACCUUCCGUUCAAUUGUGUGUUAGUAAAAUAAUCAAUUAAGCUCACUAAUGCACACCAUCCGCGAAACACCUUUCGUUCACAUGCACACCUUCCGCCAAAUUACCUUCUGUUCAAUUGUGUGUUAGUAAAAUAAUCAAUUAAGCUUACUAGUAUACACCUUCCGCCGAACACCUUCCGCCAAACACUUGCAUGAUUCAUACUAACUCCGUCUUAAAAUAAGUGUCUCAACUAGUACAAAGUUGUAUUAAGUUUAAGACACUUAUUUUGGGACAGAGGGAGUAGUAGUUUCCGCCAAAGCAAAAAAAUUAGCCGCAGCUAUUCGCCAUCUGGAUGGAGAGCGGACACGUGGUUGCUUUUGGUUCAUCAUGUGGAUGUCCAGACUCCCGUAAAGCUUCCCACAUUUGUCUUCAGUUUGCCAAAAAACGUCCGGACCGCCCGCGAACCGAUACAGAACCGUGUUGGAUGACAAAUUGUGUCCGGACAGCGUGGUCCGGAAGCUUGCGGGAGGUUUGUGGGUCCGUCUUGGAGAUGCCCUAAGGACAUCAUGAGAAUCUGGUGUUGUUAUUGCAAAAUGAAAAAGAAUCCGGUACGGUGUUGUUUUUCAAUAAGCUGUGCUGUAUUGUUUCGGCCGGUUAACUCAAUUGAUUGUGGCCAACUUGAUUGGUUACAAGUUGCAACUGGUCACCAAGACAUGCCGUUUUUAGCUUCUGAGACAACCUGCAGUGAUCAACAUAUAAACGAUAUUUUUCUUCUUCACAAAGCUCAUGGUCAUAUAAACGAUAUUUUUCUUCAAAUACAGUUUUGUAAUCUAGUUUAAAAAAAUUUGGCUGCACGAAUUAUAUAGAGGUAUAUAUGUAAGGUCUGAUGUUCUAUCACUCCCAUGUUUGCACCGUUUGCUGAUGUGUGUAUCUGAAUCUGCCAGUGCAUAUACAUCACACUGCCUUUCGAUGUAUAAUGCUAUCAUUUUUUUAAAUUCCUAUAUAGUUUGCACCGUUUGCACUCGUCCAUUCCUAUAUGUUUUGCGUUUCGAACGCCAUACUGACUGAACUGUUUUGUGUUGAAGGUGCGGCUUCGUCUUCUGCUACCAGUGCGGGCGCCCCAUGAGCAGGGGGCAGCCGGGAUUUGCAGGCCAGCUGGAGCCAUGCCGGUGCCACGACGCCGGGCUCGCGUUCGCCUUCGCGCACCACCACCAGGCCCACCACAUCGAACUGAACGUGCCGGCGCUGCCCCCGCUCCAGGAGGAGGAGGCGGCGGCGGUGGAGGCCAUCCUCAUGAACAGGCUGCCGGUGUGGGACGCAGAGCCGGAGGAGCCGCCCGUUGUCCCCGCAGACGGGCCGCGCCGCCGGCAGGAGGAGGACGACGGCAUUCACCAGCCCGGCCAUCAAGAUGACCCAGACGUGGAAAUGGAAAACUUCUUUUACUAGUUGGCUUGGUUCGAUCGGUUGUGUCUCUGCAUGCACAGGGGAGCUGGACGGCGACAUGCGUGGCCGAGUGUUCUUCAUCUCUCUGGUAGAUGAUGACAAUGUCUGUUUCCUUCCCGGUUGGGGUUCGAUGAAUUUUAUACAAGUUUGGAUGAUUGGAUUGCUGAGUGUAUCGGACUUCAGUAUCCCAUAUGUGUUAAACUAUUACAUGCCACAUAUUCUACUUCCGUUCUACUAAAGUGAUCUAAACACUCUUACAUUUUUUAAUGGACGGGGUAUAAUGUAGUGUGUAUAAUUUUUUUGAAAAGUCAAGCUUCAUG